rnacentral:rRNA from 1 species
UACGAAGGGGGCUAGCGUUGUUCGGAAUUACUGGGCGUAAAGCGCGCGCAGGCGGCUAUCCAAGUCAGUGGUGAAAGCCCGGAGCUCAACUCCGGAACUGCCAUUGAAACUGUUUAGCUUGAGGAUGAGAGAGGUGAGUGGAAUUCCUGGUGUAGCGGUGAAAUGCGUAGAUAUCGGGAGGAACACCGGUGGCGAAAGCGGCGCGCUGGACCUCUUCUGACGCUGAGGCGCGAAAGCCAGGGGAGCAAACGGG